rnacentral:rRNA from 1 species
UACGAAGGGGGCGAGCGUUGUUCGGAAUUACUGGGCGUAAAGCGCGCGUAGGCGGCCCUGUAAGUCCGUUGUGAAAGUCAAAGGCUCAACCUUUGAAAGCCGAUGGAUACUGCAGGGCUAGAGUCCGGAAGAGGCGAGUGGAAUUCCUGGUGUAGCGGUGGAAUGCGCAGAUAUCAGGAGGAACACCAAUAGCGAAGGCAGCUCGCUGGGACGGUACUGACGCUAAGGCGCGAAAGCGUGGGGAGCGAACAGG